rnacentral:rRNA from 1 species
UGAACGCUGGCGGCAUGCCUUACACAUGCAAGUCGAACGGUAACGCGGGGCAACCUGGCGACGAGUGGCGAACGGGUGAGUAACGCAUCGGAACGUGCCCAGUAGUGGGGGAUAGCCCGGCGAAAGCCGGAUUAAUACCGCAUACGACCUAAGGGUGAAAGCGGGGGAUCGCAAGACCUCGCGCUAUUGGAGCGGCCGAUGUCAGAUUAGGUAGUUGGUGAGGUAAAGGCUCACCAAGCCUUCGAUCUGUAGCUGGUCUGAGAGGACGACCAGCCACACUGGGACUGAGACACGGCCCAGACUCCUACGGGAGGCAGCAGUGGGGAAUUUUGGACAAUGGGCGCAAGCCUGAUCCAGCCAUGCCGCGUGCGGGAAGAAGGCC